rnacentral:rRNA from 1 species
AACAUGCAGUCGAACGGCAGCACAGGUGCUUGCACCUGGUGGCGAGUGGCGAACGGGUGAGUAAUACAUCGGAACGUGCCCAGACGUGGGGGAUAGCUCGGCGAAAGCCGAAUUAAUACCGCAUACGAUCUACGGAUGAAAGCGGGGGAUCGCAAGACCUCGCGCGUUUGGAGCGGCCGAUGGCAGAUUAGGUUGUUGGUGGGGUAAAGGCUUACCAAGCCUGCGAUCUGUAGCUGGUCUGAGAGGACGACCAGCCACACUGGGACUGAGACACGGCCCAGACUCCUACGGGAGGCAGCAGUGGGGAAUUUUGGACAAUGGGCGCAAGCCUGAUCCAGCCAUUCCGCGUGCAGGAUGAAGGCCCUCGGGUUGUAAACUGCUUUUGUACAGAACGAAAAGGUCCUGGUUAAUACCUGGGGCUCAUGACGGUACUGUAAGAAUAAGCACCGGCUAACUACGUGCCAGCAGCCGCGGUAAUACGUAGGGUGCAAGCGUUAAUCGGAAUUACUGGGCGUAAAGCGUGCGCAGGCGGUUAUGUAAGACAGAGGUGAAAUCCCCGGGCUCAACCUGGGAACUGCCUUUGUGACUGCAUAGCUAGAGUACGGUAGAGGGGGAUGGAAUUCCGCGUGUAGCAGUGAAAUGCGUAGAUAUGCGGAGGAACACCGAUGGCGAAGGCAAUCCCC